GACGAAGGAUGCAAGCGUUAUCCGGAUUCAUUGGGUUUAAAGGGAGCGUAGGCGGCCCUAUAAGUCAGUGGUGAAAUCUCUCGGCUUAACCGAGAAAUUGCCAUUGAUACUGUAGGGCUUGAGUACAGUUGCCGUUGGCGGAAUAUGACAUGUAGUGGUGAAAUACAUAGAGAUGUCAUAGAACACCGAUUGCGAAGGCAGCUAACGAAGCUGUAACUGACGCUGAGGCUCGAAAGUGCGGGGAUCAAACAGG
rnacentral:rRNA from 1 species